CAGCCGCCGCGGGAAUACGGAGGGUGCAAGCGUUAAUCGGAAUUACUGGGCGUAAAGCGCACGCAGGCGGUCUGACAAGUCAGAUGUGAAAUCCCCGGGCUUAACCUGGGAACUGCAUUUGAAACUGUCAGGCUGGAGUCUUGUAGAGGGGGGUGGAAUUCCAGGUGUAGCGGUGAAAUGCGUAGAGAUCUGGAGGAAUACCGGUGGCGAAGGCGGCCCCCUGGACAAAGACUGACGCUCAGGUGCGAAAGCGUGGGGAGCAAACAGGAUUAGAUACCCCGGUAGUCCCUGUCUCUUAUAC
rnacentral:rRNA from 1 species